rnacentral:rRNA from 1 species
AUGGCAGCAACGGCGCCCGGCGCCGGCGCCGUCGAGGUUUCCAUGGACGACAAGGCCAAGGCUUUGGUGGCCGCGAAGAUCAAGGAAGGGGAGUACAAGGUGCAGAUGAUAGGACAGUACGCGGUGCGGACGGACCGCGCAAUCGAUGCGCUGGAGAAAAAGGUGCAGGACAUCGAGGCGGUGAUGGAUCUCGAGCUGAUGCUCGGCGAGUACUGCGCCGACCUCUCGGACAUGCACAAGGCGCGCCACUACUACCGCGCCACCUCGCUCUCGGAGGAGGAGAAGCUCUACCUCCACCAAAUCGACGACUUCGCCACCGCCACCAUCGCCGAGUACGAGGCCAGCGUCGGCCCCGUCCCCGCCUUCGACAACCACCUCAGCCUGUUCAGCCAAGAAAUCCCACUGGAGUUCCCCGAACCCUUGGCUCCCCCUCCCGCUUCUUCGGCUUCGGCUUCGGCUUCUCACCACGAGCCUGCUGUGGACAAUGGAGGGGAUGUUGCAUGCUAA